GCCUUCUGCUUAGACCUGGUCGGGUAUGAGGACUAGUAGGGGUGAACAGGCGGCGUAGACCAUCAGCACGCCUAGGGUAACGUUGAGCGCGAUGGCAAACUCCACCU
rnacentral:ribozyme from 12 species